UGGAGCUUCGUCCAAUGGCAGGGCAGCUGUCUGAUGCGCAGCCUAUGUGGGUUCGAUUCCCGCAGCUCCGAUCA
rnacentral:tRNA from 1 species